CUUAGUUAAUUCUACUAGUAGUUAUAUACUUAUCUUAAAGAUUAAGCUAUAUAUAUCUAAGUAUAAGUAAUUAUAUAGUAAAACUAUAAAUAGCUUAUUAUAUAAGUUAUUAUUUAUUUAAUAGUACUUUACUAUAUAGAUAACUAUAGUAAUUCUAAAGCUAAUAUAUACUAAAAACCUUAACUUAUAAAGAGGUGUAUUUAUUAGAUUAAAAACUAAUGCCUUUUAGGGCUUACUAGUGAUUUAUAAUAACUUCUUAAAUUGUAUAGCCUUAUGCUAGUAAUAGUUUAUUUAAAUUUCUUCCUUAUUAACUUUUAAUACUAAAGUAGUGUUUUAGUAUAGUUAUAAUAAGUAAUAGAGGGUUAGGGCUUAACCCUAGAAAAAAAGCUUAAGAAAUAGCUACUAUAUCUAAGGAAGGCAGUAGGCAUGUAAAUUACCUAAUCCUAAUAUAGGGAGGUAGUAAUAAUAAAUACUAAUAUAGGGCUCUUUUAGGUCUUAUAAUUAAAAUAAGUAUAAUUUAAAUCUCUUAAUAAGAAAUAAUUAGAGGGUAAGUCUAGUACUAGUAGCUGUAGUAAUUCUAGCUUUAAUAGCGUAUAUUAAAGUUAUUAUAGUUAAAAAGCUUAUAGUAGAACCUUAGGCCUAGCUAGCUAGUCUGCCUUACUGCAUGCACUAGUCUAGCUAGGCCUUUUCCUCUAUAGAACUGUAUGCCCUUUACUAGGUGUGCUAGGGAAGUAGGACUUUUACUUUAAAAAAAUUAAAGUGCUUUAGGUAGGCCUAUACUUAAAUAUAUUAGUAUAAAAUAAUAGAAUAGGACGUGUAGUUCUAUUUUAUUAGUUUCUAGGACUGCUAUAAUAAUUAAUAAGGAUAGUUAGGGGUAUUAGUAUUUAAUUAUUAGAGGUAAAAUUCUUAGAUUUAUUAAAGACUAACUACUGUAAAAGUAUUUACUAAGGAUGUUUUUAUUUAUUAGGAAUAAAAGUUAGAAGAUUAAAGAUAAUUAGAUACUGUUAUAGUCUUAACUAUAAACUAUACUAACUAGGGAUUAGAUAAUAUUAUUUUUUAACUUAUUUAGUACCUUAUAAGAAAUUAAAGUGCUUAGGCUUUAGGGGGAGUAUAGUUAUAAGGCUAAAACUUAAAGAAAUUAAUAGAAGGGCACUACUAGGGGUAAAGCCUAUAGCUUAAUUUAACUUAAUAUAGGGAAACUUACUAGGUCUAGAUAUAAUAAGGAUUAAUAGAUUAAGAGCUUUUUCUUAAUUUUAUAGGUAGUAAUAUAUAGCUGUUCUUAGUUAGUAAAGUAAUUUAUUUACUUAAUUAUAAUAAUAAAUAAGACCUUAACCUGCUAAAUAGCCUGUAUUACUUUAGUAGUAUGCUGGCUUCUUAAAGGGACUAUUAGCUUAAGCUAAUAGAAG
rnacentral:rRNA from 1 species